CAUCAUCAUCAUCAUCAUCAUCAAAAGGAGACCGCAGCGGGAGCCAGAGUGAUCUCGUGAUCUCCCUCUCCUCCAUCGGGGAUCGGCGUGGGGAAAUCGAUGGUAGCUGGCUGCGUAGAUCAUCCCGAUCGAUCGCCUGCCUGAUUAGAACAGAGGAAGAAGAAGGCGAGAGGGGAUGGGUUGGUGGUGGGGUGGACAGCAGAAGAACAAAGAACCGUGCAAGAAGGAGGCGUGCGACAUCCAGGCCUGCCUCUCCAAGAACAACUUCAACCCCGAGAGGUGCAUGAAGGUCAUUGGACUGUUGCAACUAUGCUGUGAAAAGUGCAACUAUGACUCAACACAUUGUGCUCCACUUGCUGGACUUCUGAAAACAAAUACCAAGUGACACACUGCAAAUAUUAAACCAUGAAGCUUCAUGAUUACCCAACAGUAAUUUCUCUGUCUUGCUGCGAUAGAGCAUCAAAGAGUCAAAGACGACAUAGUUGAGAAUUUGUAACCAAGGGCAAUAAUGCCAAUUCAGAUGCGUUGUUAGGAAUAAGACAAUUGGCCUGACUUUCUAUGAUGGAAGAAAGUCUCUGAGUUAUGUGGAUCAUUUAUUUUCGUUCUCUUCAACAGACAAUUUAUGUUGAAAAAUAUUAUUUCUGCAGGAGCUGAAAGAAUGGAGAAAUGGCAGAUUUAGAUGACUUUCUAUGAUGGAGAAAUGGACUGCUGACGAUGUAAACAACUUUUUCUUUUCUGCACGGCAUGUUCACGUCUGCUUUUUUCCCCGGUUUUUUGAGAACUUUAGCUGUAGUAUUUUAAGUUGAAAAUUGUGAGAAAAAAAAAUUGAAAUUGCAGAAGAAUAGCAAGAUAAUUUCUCUUUUCAUUUUCCUUCUUUUUUUUCUGGAAAAUAAUGGAGGGUGAACCAUCACUUGGUAAAGAUUUACCUUAGUGAAAUAAUUGGCAGCCACAUUUGGAUGCUGGUCCAAAGCCUGUAAAAGAUUUUAAAUUGCAUGAAUUCUCUGCUCAUUAAAUGUA